AAGGAUAUGGGCACAUCAAAUGCAACAAUGUGGUGUUUCAGAAUGUUUCAUAUGUAAAGGGGCUCAAACAUAACCUUAUCUCAAUCAGUCAAUUGUGUGAUGCUGAUUAUGAAGUUCAUUUUACAAAGAAGGAAGGUAGAGUCAUCAACACUGACAAGAACAUCGUACUCUCAGCAAACAGAAAGGAUGAUAUAUAUGUUCUCGACAUGUUCUCAAGUGACAAGGCACUGAUGCAAUGCUUCUUUACCAAAUCUCAAACCAAUCUCAGCUGGAUUUGGCACAAAAGGUUCUCACAUUUGAAUUUUAAAAAUCUGUCUAAGAUAUCCAAUCAAGAUCUGGUCAGAGGUCUUCCAAAAUUCAGUUUUGUCAAAGAUAAAGUCUGUUCAGCGUGUGAACAAGGAAAGCAAACAAAGUCUUCGUUCAAGCCCAAGUCAUGUUCGAGCAUAUCCGUUCCUCUUCAUUUACUUCACAUGGACUUGUUUGGUCCUAUUCCUGUUCGUUCCCUAGGAGGAAAUAAGUAUACUCUGGUGGUUGUAGAUGAGUUUACUCGAUUUACAUGGGUGGUUUUCUUGAAAAAGAAAGGUCAUGCUGCACAGGAAAUUAUCUCACUGAUUCGUCAAAAUGAGACACUGACUGGUCUCAAAGUUAAGCAGCUAAGGAGUGAUCAUGGUACUGAGUUCCGAAAUUCAAUUCUUGAAGACUUUUGUGAUUUUAAAGGCAUUGGGCAGAACUUCUCAGCUCCUCGCACUCCUCAACAAAACGGAGUUGCUGAACGAAGAAAUCGAACUCUGAUUGAAGCAAGAAGAACCUUGAUGAUACAUGCUGGUCUUCCUAUGUCUUUUUGGGCUGAAGCUGUUAAUACAGCAUGUUAUACUCAUAAUCGCUCUCUAAUUCACAGAAUUCACAAGAAGACNUGUUAAUACAGCAUGUUAUACUCAGAAUCGCUCUCUAAUUCACAGAGUUCACAAGAAGACACCAUAUGAGAUGCUGAAAGGUCGAAAACCAGAUGUAUCCUUCUUUCACAUGUUUG
rnacentral:lncRNA from 1 species